CUUGGCUGGUUCUACCGGGGGAAAGUCUUUUGCUGGAACUACACCCCUAACUCACCAACAGGUUUGAGGCCCUUUGGUUACCCUCAAACUGGUUUAGCUCAUCUGUGCAGAGGUGGCCUCUGGGCAUGCUACAGCUUCUUGGAGUCAUGGGGGAGCAAGGCCUCACACCAGAGGUGCUCAUUCUUUCUGAACACCCCAAUAAACAGGUACACAAACAUAAAAACCUUAUCUUUGCUUAUUUCAGAGCCUAAAUGUAAAUGAAGAUUUGAUAAGCGGCACAUGAUCAUUUCUGCAUUCCCUAUUCUCACCAGAGCACAGAGUCACAGACUCAUAGAUUUAGAGCAAUUUUAAGCAAUCUGAAGACCCAUCAAGUCCAAUCCCUUCAUUUUACAAAAUAGGAAAUCAAGGCACAGAGAUUAGUGAUUUAAGAUCACAGUGUAGUAAGUGCUUGAGGCAGAAUUUGAACCCAGAUCUUCCUGUCACCAGGUUCAGUGUCCCAUCCACCAGACAUGCCCUGAUGCUUCUGGCUGUGAGAGGCUGUGUUGUAGUGGGCUUGGGGCCGAAUUUGGAGUUAGAAAAACCACAGCCACUUACUAGCUGUGCAGCUAGAAGUGUGUGGGGACUGGCUCGCUCUUCCUUUCAUUGACACAGGGAAUUAAUUCUCUCAUGAGGAAAUUCCUACUGAUGCCCGUAGAGUCUUUUUCUGCAACUUAGUCUUAGAGAAUUCCUCAAAAAUGCACCCCAAAGCUAAGGGACCCCUCACAGAUCACACAGCUUAUCCACUUGUAGUAACACCCACCUCACAAGGUCGUAGUGAGAAUCAGAUGAAAUAGCAUUUUGCUAAGCAAGUGUUUAUAAACAUUAGCCACUGCUGAAGGAAGCGGCCCGCCCACUGAGGCACAGGGGCCCCUUGGCUUCCCUCCAAGGUUCUCCCUCCUCCAAAACCCUUUCCGCUGGAUCUCCUUUGUGGAGCCUGGGAACUGACCUUUAAUGGUCUCGCUUACAGUUCCGGGGGAGUCGCUGAGUAAAACUCCUCCCGAAUCCUAGCAAACCCAACGUGGGCCCGAGUAAGGGCCGGAGACAGGAAAUUAAGAGUAGCUGGCGGCCGGACCUCUACUCCCUCCUUCCCGCAAAUGAUUCCGUUACAAACGAGCCCAAAGAGCUUCCAUCCCGUAAAUAACCCGCCGAGGCAUGGCCCAAGAGCCUCUCUUCUAACUGCGAAGCUCGGGAAAUCUGUUCCUAGACUUCGCGGGGGCGCGCCGCUUUGCUGGGCUCCGCCCAGUGGCCAAUCAGCUACCGAGAGCUUUGGUCGAAGCCCGCUUUCUGGACGUGUGGAUGCCUUACACUCGCCACUGGAGUACCUGCACUAGCACAAGCUCCACCCCCAGGGCCCUAGAAGGAGGCUGCUGGCGAGGUGGGCGCACACCUAGGCGCCCGCGGGAGCCGGGGAAUAGGGAAACCAUCGAUCGUAGGCGCCGCUAACCGCAGCUUCCCCGCCCCGCCUGCGAGGAAGCAAAGAUGUGCCUCCCGCUCUGCGGAGAGGAGAAGGGAUGGGCGCGGACCUGGGCUUCCCCCGGAGGAGGCUCCACCCCAGCGUGUCCCUUCAGCCCCGCGCCUGGGACUUCUCGGCCAUCUCCUCACCGAAACAUCGCCCUUGUCUUCAGCGUCCACUCCUGGAUCUGUGACCAUUUCCAGCCCCUCGGAGCCGCUGGAACUACAAAUGGCGUCCGCCUGGCUCUCCCUCAGCUCCUUGCUGGCUCUUUCCUCCGGCAGUGGGAGCGUUAAAAGGCGAAGACUUCACAGCCGGGCACGUUUUAUGGGUUUGCUUUCACAGUGAAGGAACUUCCUUCUCCUUCUCCAUCCUCCCUCUUCCUUCCAUGUUCUUCACUUUCCCCUCGUCUUCCCCCUUCCUUUUCUUUCUUCCCUCUAUCCCAUUCCUCUCCUUCCCACUUCCUUUUCCCCUUUCUUCUUCAGUUUCUUCAUCGUACCCCAUUCUAUUUCCUCUCCUUUUCCUUUCUUCCUUUCCUUCUCUCCUCCCUUCUUUCUCUCUCCCUUAGUUUCUUUCCUUUCUCCCUUCUUUUAUUUCUCCCCUUCCAUCUCCCUUUCCUUCAUUCUUCCUUCAUACACUUCCUUUCUUCUUUUCUUCCCCUUUUCUCUUCUCCCCUCCUUUUCCUCGCCCACCCUUCUUGCUCCUCAUCCUUUUAGCAUGCUUUCUUCUGCCCUUCUCUCUCCUUCCCUCCUCUGUCUUUAUCUCUCCCUUCCUCUCUUCUUCCUUCUUUCCCAUCUCGCAUCUCCUAUGAUGCAGGAAAAAAAAACAAACCAUGAUGCCCCACUCCCUUACAGCCUGCUCCCUGGGUGCUAUUGCUUUAGCAUUCUGAGAGCUAUUCUGUUUGCCUCAUCUUGGAUGAUUCCACAGAAUGCACCCCUUUUGCUCCUUGGUGAGAGGAAUAAAAGGCGUUUGAUGAGCUGGGCAAAGGCCAGGAACACUUCAGAAAAGAGAUACUUGAUUCUAGACACUAACCAGGAGCUUCACCUCUCUACCCCCUCUUCAUUCUAGCAAACUCCACAGAAGCUGGGAAGGGAAACUAGGAAGAAUACUGAAGGUUUGGGGCUUUACCUUCAUCUUUUCCGCUGAUGCAGUGGAAGUGGAGGACUUGGAAUCAGGAAACUUAAGUUCAAGGCUGGACUCUGCCACUUUACCUAAAUUUGUGACCUUGAGUAAAUCACUUACCUUCCUUAGGUCUGGUUUUUCUUCACCUGUAAAAUAGAGAUGAUAUUUCAUGAUCUGAGAGACGGUGUGCUUUAAUGGAAAGUGUACUAGAUUUGGGGGCUGUUGCCUAGGUGAAAGUGCCUUUCUACUGCCAAUCCUCAUCCUUACCUGGCUUUGUUCAGUCCUUCCACAUCCCUCCCCUGUUUACCCCUCUCAUUGUUCUAUGGCUAAAUAACUAUCCCUUUGCUCAGCAUUCCUUCCCAAAUCAGAUGUUGCUGAAGCUGUCACAUCACUUUCCAGUCCCUUUAAUGUUGUCUACUCCUCCUCUCAUACAUAAGACUUAAAGAUGCCUGUUUACUUUUUCCCAUUGUUCCUGAGACACCUUUAAGCAAUUUCUUCUGUUUUAAGAGCAUCUGAUCCUCCACACCCCCAAUCUCGCUUUUAUCUAUCCAUCUCUAACUCACUCUCCUUUAAAAUAACUUCAACUUCAUAGCUGACAACAUAGUUUAAUGGAAGGAACCCUAGUCUUGGUACUUGAAAUUUACUCCCUGUGUGACAGUGGUAUAAGGGAAAGAAGGUCAAAUUUGAAGCAAGAAGACCUGUGUUCAAAUCCUGCCUUUUCCACUUUCCAACCUUGUAGAAAAUAAUAGAUUUGUUUGCUUAUUGUCUCCUCUAUUAGAUUAUGAACUCCUCAGAGGCAGAGACUCUUGCCUUUUUUUGUAUUCCCAACUUUUACCACAGUGCCUGACACAGAGCAGGUACUUAAAAAUUGUUUGUUGACUGCAUGGCUGACUUUGUGAGCCUGAGCAAAUCAUUUUACUUCCAUGAGUUUCAGUUUCCUCAUGAGAGGGGUCCCUUACAGGUCUAAAUCUAUGAUAUUAAGUUACUUCACUGCUUAGUCAUAAUUUACUCAUCUUUAAAACUGGAAUCAUACUUAUAUCCUAGGAUUGUUGUGAGGUAAAUCUUAUGUAAAUCUUAACAUUUUAGAUAAAUGUCAUCUAUUAUUCCUUUCUACCUCAAUCCCUGGCUUCAUUUUCCUUGUCUUCAGUAUUCACUAUUCCCUUCUAAUACCUUUGCCUUCUAGUUCACCUCAAUUUCCAUUCUCCGCUGUGCUUUAAUGACUCGGUUUGUUGCAGAGUUUUGGGGACUUAGUAAACUUUUGCAAAAUCCUAAUCCUAAAAUCAAUGAUCCUAAAAAAAAAAAAUAGGCCUUUAAUGACACUAAUGCAUUGCUGGUGGAUUGUGAAUUGAUCCAACCAACCAGUAAAGCAAUUUGGAACUAUGCUCAAAGGGCUUGAAAAGACUGCCUGCCCUUUGAUCCAGCCAUAGCACUGCUGAGUUUGUACCUCAGAGAGAGAAAAAAAAUGGGAAAGGAUCUGUUUCUACAAAAAAUAUUUCUAGCUGUGCUUUUUGUGGUGGCAAAAAAUUGGAAAGUGAGGGGAUGCCCCUCAAUUGGGGGAUGGCUGGACAAAUUGUGGUAUCUGAUGGUGAUGGGAUACUACUGUGAUAUAAGGAAUGAUGAGUUGAUGGAUUUCUUUAAGAACUAGAAAGACCUCAGAAGUGACGUGGAGUGAAAUGAGCGGAACAAGGAGAACAUUAUACACAGUAACUGGAACAUUGUGGGACAAUCAUUAUGUAAUAAUAGACUUUGCUACUAAUAGCAAUGCCAUGAUCCAGGACGAUCCAGAGGGGUUUAUGAGAAACAAUAUCCUCAUCGAGAGAAAGAACUGUGGGAGUAGAAAUCCAGAAGAAAACAUAUGGUUCAUCAUUUGUUUACAUGGGUAUAUGAUUUGGGGUUUGGGUUUUACAAGAUUGCUCUAUUACAAAAAUGAAUAAUAAGUAAAUAGGUUUAGAUAGCCCAGUAGAAUUGCUUGUCAAUUCUGGAAGGGGGAGAGAGAGACAACAUGAAUCUUGUAACCAUGGAAAAAAAUUUUUACUUAAAAUUUUAAAUGAAAAAUAAAUAAAGUCCCUGUUUAAAAAAAAAAGGCCCUUAAUGACCAUGGUAAUCUUGUGUUCAGUAAGUGCAAAGAUCCAAAGUUUUGGGAGAACUCACUAUUUGAAAAAAACUGCUUGGAAAAUUGGAAAACAAUAUGGCAGAAACUAGGCAUAAAUCAAUAUCUGAUGUCAUACAUUAAGAUACAGUCAAAAUAGAUAAGUUAAUUUAGAAAUAAAGGGUGAUAUCUUAAAUUAGAACACGGAAGUUGAAGGCAUGUCUGCCCUGGGAAAUGGAUGAAAAGUUAUAGUAUAUGGUUGUAAUGGAAUACUAUUACACCAUAAGAAAUGAUGAACAGGAUGACGUCAGAGAAAUCUGGAAUGAGUUAUAUGAACAAAUGUGAAGUGAACAGAACCAGGAGAAUAGUAUAUACAGUAACAGAAAUAUUGUAUAAUGAUCAACUGUGAAGAACUAAACUAUUAUCAGCCAAACAAGGUCCCAAGAUAACCACCAGGGAAUCAGGACAAAAAAUGCUACUCAAAACCAAAGAAGGAACUUUUGGAAUCUGAUUACAGAUUAGAGCAUGCAAUCUUUCACUUUAUUUCUUCAUUUUUAUUAUAUAUGUGAUAUGUAUCCUCUGUUAUGGCAUAGGGAAUAUGGAAAUAUAUAUUGCAUAAAAGCACUAGUAUAACCUAUAACAGACCAUUUGCCUCCUUGGAGAGGGGGGAAUAGGGAAGAGAAUCUGAUUCAUAAAAUUGUAAAAAAUUGUUUCUACGUGUAUUUGGGGGGAAAAGCUUUUUUAAAUGGGCCUUUAUUACAAAUGUGACUUAACACACACAAGGCAAGACUUAAGAGUUAAGGAAUCAGGGGCAGUUAGGUGACUCAAUGGAUAGAGAGCCUAGAUAGAGGCCUAGAGUUGGGAGAUCCUGAAUUCAAUUCUGGCCUCAGAUACUUCCUAGCUCUGUGACCCUGGGCAAGUCACUUAACCCCAACCCCUUACCACUCUUCCACCUUGGAACAAAUAUUUAGUAUUGUUUCUAAGGCAGAAAGUAAGGGUUAGGGUUAGGAUUAAGACUUAAGGAAACACCUGUGGGUGGGAAAAUGGGGUGGGUAUGCUUUUUUAAAUUUUUAUUUGUUUUUUAAAAUUUGAUCAAUUUCAAACAUUAUUCCCUGGUUACAAAAAUAAUUUUCUAUUCCUCCUUCCCCUGCCAUAGCCGACACAAUUCCACUGGGUAUUAUAUGUGUGCUUGACCAGAAUCCAUUUCCAUAUUGUUUGUAUUUGUACUAGGACAGCGGUUCUCAACCUCUCAAUUUGUAGCAAUGAGAAUGCAUAAAUGCAUAUCAGGUAUUUACAUUCCGAAUCAUAACUGUAGCAAAAUUAAAGUUUUGAAGUAGCCACCAAAAUAAUUUUUUGGUUUGGGGUCACUGCAACAUGAGGAACUGUUUUGUGGGGUCACAGCAUUAGAAAGGUUGAGAACCACUGGACUAGGAUGUUCAUUCAGAGUCUACAUUCCCAAUCUUAUCCCCCUCGACCCAUGUGAUCAAACAGUUGUUUUUCUUCUGUGUUUUUACUCCCACAGUGUUUCCUCUGAAUGUGGAUAGUGUUCUUUCUCAUACAUCCCUCCGAGUUGUUCAGGAUCAUUGCAUUGCCACUAAUGGAGAAGUCCAUUACAUUUGAUUGUGCCACAGAGUAUCAGUCUCUGUGUACAAUGUUCUCCUGGUUCUGCUCCUCUCACUCUGCAUCACUUCCUAGAAGUUGUUCCAGUUCCCAUGGAAUUCCUCCACUUUAUUGUUCCUUUGAGCACAAUAGAAUUCCAUCAUCAACAGAUACCACAAUUUGUUCAGCCAUUCCUCAACUGAAAGGCGGCCCCUUAUUUUCCAUUUUUUUUGCCACCACAAAGUGUGCAGCUAUGAAUAUUCUUGUACAUGUCUUUUUCCUUAUUAUCUCUUUGGGGUACAAGCCCAGCAGUGCAAUGGCUGGAUCAAAGGGCAGACAGUCUUUUAGUGCCCUUUGGACUGGGUAUACUUUUGUUAGAAGAGUUCUUUCCUUUUUCAAUGGGAGGGGGUGGCAAAGAAUGAAAGGAAGAUGGUAAUUAGUGAUAAGCUUGCCAAAAAAAGAGACUGAAGUAUGUUUCUUAUUUGCAGGAUUGUGUAGGGUUUUGUUUUCUUUCUUUUUUUUUAUGUUUUACAAUUAUUUUGGGGGGGGGGGAUUUUUAUUUAAUUAAUUUAAAAUAUUUUUCCAUGGUUACAUGAUUCAUGUUCUUUUCCCUCCUCUCCCCCCACUCUUCCCUUAGCCAAUGUGCAAUUCCACUAAGUUUUACAUGUGUCCUUGAUCAGAACCUAUUUCCAUGAUGUUGAUGUUUGCACUACGGUGAUCAUUUAGAGUCUACAUCCCCAGUCAUAUCCCCAUCAACCCAUGUGAUCAAGCAGUUGUUUUUCUUCUGUGCUUCUGCUUCCACAGUUCUUUCUCUGGAUGUGGAUAGCAUCUUUUUCAUAAGUCCCUCAGAAUUGUCCUGGAUCAUUGCAUUGCUGCUAGUAGAGAAGUCCAUUACAUUUGAUUGUGUCACAGUGUAUCAGUGUUCUGAUUCUGCUCCUUUCACUCUGCAUCACUUCCUGGAGGUCAUUCCAGUUCACACAGAAUUCCUCCAGUUCAUUAUUAGGGUUUUGUUUUCUGAUCCAUUCUUUUAGUCUUCUGUUCUCCCCCUGGACUGUACUCCAAGCUCUACCUAGUACGUUUCCAUUGGCUUUAUCUUACUUGGCCCUUCGACCAAGUUUACAUCUCAGUUGUAGAUGUUUUAUUCAGUAUCCCCUUUCCCUAACAGCUCCUCUUUGUUUAAUUUCCUACUCUCCCCAAUGAAAGUUCCUUGAAGGAAGGGAAUCUCCUUUGCUGUAAACUAUAUUGCCAUAAAGAUAAAUAGGAAAUAUGUAAGGAACUAUGGAAGGAUACCUAGGAAAAAAUGGAGAAUGAAAAUGAAAAUAACAUCUGUACAUUGACUACAACUACAUUUUUUAGAAAGAAGAUACAAAACCAGAAAUACUAGAACGUGGGGUAGACCUGGAAGGAAGAAAAGCAUGUUUUGGUUUAUAAAUUCAUUUUACUCCUUAGUUUACACAUUUAUUUGAUUGCUUUUAUUCAUAGCUAUUGAAUUUGUAAUAAUUUCUUUUAAAUGUGUUGUAAUUCCCUCUGUGUAAGGUACAAUAUUUUAUAUACCCCUAGUAAAGGAAUCUGUAAAUGUA